GGGGCUGUAACGGUUUCGACGUUUUGACGAAAGUCACGCUGUGAUACAGGCCGAGAGUGAGUCCACUCUCGUAAAUCAAGGCUCAAAACAAACGUAAAUGCGAACAACAUCGUACCCUUUGCUCGUAAAGCUGCACCUGUUGCUGCCUAACUAAACCUCGUUUAGUGAGCGUCUAUAGUUUGACUCCGUUAAGAGCCAUAGACAAAACCCCAACGGAUGCUUUAAUGAAUCUCCUCUGGUGGAUCCAUUAACUAAGACUUAGCCAGAGCAUCCCGCCGUCCGGGAUAAGUGGCGGUUCCUGUCCCUAGGGUUAGAGGGACUAAGCCUGUGAAUGAGUGGUGUGUUAAUACUCAAAGCGGACACGGGUUCGACUCCCGUCAGCUCCAUUG
rnacentral:tmRNA from 1 species